AUAUUGGUCAAUGGACGAGAGUCUGAACCAGCCAAGUAGCGUGAAGGAUGAAGGUCCUACGGAUUGUAAACUUCUUUUAUAAGGGAAUAAACCCUCCCACGUGUGGGAGCUUGUAUGUACCUUAUGAAUAAGCAUCGGCUAACUCCGUGCCAGCAGCCGCGGUAAUACGGAGGAUGCGAGCGUUAUCCGGAUUUAUUGGGUUUAAAGGGAGCGCAGACGGGUCGUUAAGUCAGCUGUGAAAGUUUGGGGCUCAACCUUAAAAUUGCAGUUGAUACUGGCGUCCUUGAGUGCGGUUGAGGUGUGCGGAAUUCGUGGUGUAGCGGUGAAAUGCUUAGAUAUCACGAAGAACUCCGAUUGCGAAGGCAGCACACUAAGCCGUAACUGACGUUCAUGCUCGAAAGUGUGGGUAUCAAACAGGAUUAGAUACCCUGGUAGUCCACACGGUAAACGAUGAAUACUCGCUGUUUGCGAUAUACUGCAAGCGGCCAAGCGAAAGCGUUAAGUAUUCCACCUGGGGAGUACGCCGGCAACGGUGAAACUCAAAGGAAUUGACGGGGGCCCGCACAAGCGGAGGAACAUGUGGUUUAAUUCGAUGAUACGCGAGGAACCUUACCCGGGCUUAAAUUGCAAAGGAAUUGCGUGGAAACAUGCAAGUCUUCGGAUCUUUGUGAAGGUGCUGCAUGGUUGUCGUCAGCUCGUGCCGUGAGGUGUCGGCUUAAGUGCCAUAACGAGCGCAACCCUUGCCGCCAGUUACUAACAGGUAAUGCUGAGGACUCUGGCGGGACUGCCAUCGUAAGAUGUGAGGAAGGUGGGGAUGACGUCAAAUCAGCACGGCCCUUACGUCCGGGGCUACACACGUGUUACAAUGGGGGGUACAGAAGGCAGCUACACGGCGACGUGAUGCUAAUCCCUAAAGCCUCUCUCAGUUCGGAUUGGAGUCUGCAACCCGACUCCAUGAAGCUGGAUUCGCUAGUAAUCGCGCAUCAGCCACGGCGCGGUGAAUACGUUCCCGGGCCUUGUACACACCGCCCGUCAAGCCAUGAAAGCCGGGGGUACCUGAAGUGCGUAACCGCAAGGAGCGCCCUAGGGUAAAACCGGUAAUUGGGGCUAAGUCGUAACAAGGUAGCCGUACCGGAAGGUGCGGCUG
rnacentral:rRNA from 1 species